rnacentral:rRNA from 1 species
UGGGGAAUCUUAGACAAUGGGGGAAACCCUGAUCUAGCCAUGCCGCGUGAUCGAUGAAGGCCUUAGGGUUGUAAAGAUCUUUCAGAUGGGAAGAUAAUGACGGUACCAUCAGAAGAAGCCCCGGCUAACUCCGUGCCAGCAGCCGCGGUAAUACGGAGGGGGCUAGCGUUAUUCGGAAUUACUGGGCGUAAAGCGCACGUAGGCGGAUCAGAAAGUCAGAGGUGAAAUCCCAGGGCUCAACCUUGGAACUGCCUUUGAAACUCCUGGUCUUGAGGUCGAGAGAGGUGAGUGGAAUUCCGAGUGUAGAGGUGAAAUUCGUAGAUAUUCGGAGGAACACCAGUGGCGAAGGCGGCUCACUGGCUCGAUACUGACGCUGAGGUGCGAAAGCGUGGGGAGCAAACA